GGAAUCUUGGACAAUGGGGGCAACCCUGAUCCAGCCAUGCCGCGUGAACGAUGAAGGCCCUAGGGUUGUAAAGUUCUUUCAGCGGGGAAGAUAAUGACGGUACCCGCCGAAGAAGCCCCGGCUCACUCCGUGCCAGCAGCCGCGGUAAUACGGAGGGGGCCAGCGUUGUUCGGAAUUACUGGGCGUAAAGCGCACGUAGGCGGACCAUCAAGUCAGAGGUCAAAUCCCGGAGCUCAACUCCGGAACUGCCUUUGAAACUGCUGGUCUGGAGAUCAAGAGAGGUGGGUGGAAUUCCGAGUGUAGAGGUGAAAUUCGUAGAGAUUCGGAGGAACACCAGUGGCGAAGGCGGCCCACUGGCUCGAUACUGACGCUGAGGUGCGAAAGCGUGGGGAGCAAAC
rnacentral:rRNA from 1 species